AGUCGAGCGCGGGAAGCGAGCUGAAGCCCUUCGGGGUGGACGCUCGUGGAACGAGCGGCGGACGGGUGAGUAACACGUGGGCAACCUACCUGUAAGACCGGAAUAACCCCGGGAAACCGGGGCUAAUGCCGGGUAACCGAACGGUUCUCCUGAACCGGACGUAAAAGGAUGGCUUCUUGCUAUCGCUUACAGAUGGGCCCGCGGCGGCAUUAGCUAGUUGGUAAAGGUACGGCUUACCAAGGCGACGAUGCGUAGCCGACCUGAGAGGGUGAUCGGCCACACUGGGACUGAGACACGGCCCAGACUCCUACGGGAGGCAGCAGUAGGGAAUCUUCCGCAAUGGACGAAAGUCUGAGGAGCAACGCCGCGUGAACGAUGAAGGCUUUCGGGUCGUAAAGUUCUGUUGUGAGGGAAGAACAAGGAUCGUGCGAACACAGCGGUCCCUUGACGGUACCUCACGAGGAAGCCCCGGCUAAC
rnacentral:rRNA from 1 species